rnacentral:rRNA from 1 species
AACGAACGCUGGCGGCAGGCUUAACACAUGCAAGUCGAGCGCCCCGCAAGGGGAGCGGCAGACGGGUGAGUAACGCGUGGGAAUCUACCCAUCUCUACGGAAUAACGCAUGGAAACGUGUGCUAAUACCGUAUACGUCCUUCGGGAGAAAGAUUUAUCGGAGGUGGAUGAGCCCGCGUUGGAUUAGCUAGUUGGUGGGGUAAAGGCCUACCAAGGCGACGAUCCAUAGCUGGUCUGAGAGGAUGAUCAGCCACACUGGGACUGAGACACGGCCCAGACUCCUACGGGAGGCAGCAGUGGGGAAUAUUGGACAAUGGGCGCAAGCCUGAUCCAGCCAUGCCGCGUGAGUGAUGAAGGCCCUAGGGUUGUAAAGCUCUUUCACCGGUGAAGAUAACGACGGUAACCGGAGAAGAAGCCCCGGCUAACUUCGUGCCAGCCGCCGCCGUAAAAC